GACGAACGCUGGCGGCGUGCUUAACACAUGCAAGUCGAACGGAAAGGCCCUGCUUUUGUGGGGUGCUCGAGUGGCGAACGGGUGAGUAACACGUGAGUAACCUGCCCUUGACUUUGGGAUAACUUCAGGAAACUGGGGCUAAUACCGGAUAGGAGCUCCUGCUGCAUGGUGGGGGUUGGAAAGUUUCGGCGGUUGGGGAUGGACUCGCGGCUUAUCAGCUUGUUGGUGGGGUAGUGGCUUACCAAGGCUUUGACGGGUAGCCGGCCUGAGAGGGUGACCGGCCACAUUGGGACUGAGAUACGGCCCAGACUCCUACGGGAGGCAGCAGUGGGGAAUAUUGCACAAUGGGCGGAAGCCUGAGGCAGCAACGCCGCGUGCGGGAUGACGGCCUUCGGGUUGUAAACCGCUUUCGCAUGUGACGAAGCGUGAGUGACGGUAAUGGGUAAAGAAGCACCGGCUAACUACGU
rnacentral:rRNA from 1 species